GGUGUUCUUAUAGUACUAUGCAUUGUAUGUAACACAUUGUCAGUCAGUUGGAGGACGAGUUUAUCAAACUAAAAGAACUGAAGGGAAGAUGGAUGUUCCAUAAAGCAUCAGGUGGAGGUGGUCAAAGGAAAUUGUCAAUAAUCCCAAUGGAUGCAGAAGGGUACAGCGGCAAGCUGCACCGUUCGGCUUCAAAUAAUGGGAAAAUAGUCCUCUUCCUGGUGCCCUUCCAGGAAGAAAUGGACACAAGUCCACUACCGUUUGAUGCUGAGGAGUUUGCCAAAAUGCCUCAGGUGCCCUGUGUGACUUGUGGUAUUAACAAUGCCUCUUCAGAUGCUGGCGUUACAUGCUGGGUCUUGUGGAAAAAUUACAGAACAGGGAGGGAGUAUUGGAAAUACACCCAGAUAUGCCAGGACCAUCAUCAGCAACUUCAGGGACUUCUUAUUCUGCAGAACCUAGAAGUACUGAAGGUAUCAUACUAUAGUAAAUAAGUCUGAAAAACAUGUGAUCCUGGAUGUUGUUGGGCAGGUUUGCUGUAUAUCUGUUGUAUAGGAUGGUAGAAGGGGGACUGCCAUGCCGUCUUCUUUGAAG